AUUGAACGCUGGCGGCAGGCCUAACACAUGCAGGUCGAGCGGAUGACGGGAGCUUGCUCCUUGAUUCAGCGGCAGACGGGUGAGUAAUGCCUAGGAAUCUGCCUGGUAGUGGGGGACAACGUUUCGAAAGGAACGCUAAUACCGCAUACGUCCUACGGGAGAAAGCAGGGGACCUUCGGGCCUUGCGCUAUCAGAUGAGCCUAGGUCGGAUUAGCUAGUUGGUGAGGUAAUGGCUCACCAAGGCGACGAUCCGUAACUGGUCUGAGAGGAUGAUCAGUCACACUGGAACUGAGACACGGUCCAGACUCCUACGGGAGGCAGCAGUGGGGAAUAUUGGACAAUGGGCGAAAGCCUGAUCCAGCCAUGCCGCGUGUGUGAAGAAGGCCUUCGGAUUGUAAAGCACUUUAAGUUGGGAGGAAGGGCAGUAAGUUAAUACCUUGCUGUUUUGACGUUACCGACAGAAUAAGCACCGGCUAACUCUGUGCCAGCCGCCGCCGUAAGAC
rnacentral:rRNA from 1 species